CGCGUAGGUGGCCUGUCAAGUCGGGUGUGAAAACUCUGGGCUUAACCCAGAGCCUGCAUUCGAUACUGAUGGGCUAGAGUUCUGGAGGGGAAAGCGGAAUUCCUGGUGUAGCGGUGAAAUGCGUAGAUAUCAGGAGGAACACCGGUGGCGAAGGCGGCUUUCUGGACAGAAACUGACACUGAGGCGCGAAAGCUAGGGGAGCAAACA
rnacentral:rRNA from 1 species